AUCCAACUGACGAGUCUUAAAUAGGACAAAACAUACGUCCUGGAU
rfam:Schistosoma haematobium scaffold558_12, whole genome shotgun sequence.